CUCCUUUCAGGAUGGCACCUGGAGUGUUUCCAGUAUACUACCAGUCUCAGCUAUGGGAGGCAGAGUCAAGCAGAGGCAAAUGUAUUCCAUUCCUAGCUUGGCCAGUGGCUAGUGAGUGGAAGGCAAUCUGCUACAAGU